rnacentral:rRNA from 1 species
GUGUCAGCCGCCGCGGUAAUACGGAGGUUCCAAGCGUUGUUCGGAAUUACUGGGCGUAAAGGGAGCGCAGGCGGACAGGUCAGUUUAAAGUGGAAUCCCAGGGCUCAACCCUGGACGUGCUUUGGAUACUGCCUGUCUUGAGUUCGUGAGAGGAAAGUGGAAUUCAGGGUGUAGCGGUGAAAUGCUUAGAUAUCCUGAGGAACACCAGUGGCGAAAGCGACUUUCUGGCACGAAACUGACGCUGAGGCUCGAAAGCAUGGGUAGCGAACGGGAUUAGAUACCCCUGUAGUCC